UUAACCUCGAGAGCGACGCUACUUAAACCAUCGCGAACUCGUCCAAGUUGCUUCGGCGGCGCGGCCUCCCUCACGGGGGCGCCGCAGCCCCGCCUCUCCGGAGGCUUGGGGCGCCCGCCGGAGGUACGAAACUCUGUAUUAUAGUGGCAUCUCUGAGUAAAAAACAAAUAAGUUAAAACUUUCAACAACGGAUCUCUUGGUUCUGGCAUCGAUGAAGAACGCAGCGAAAUGCGAUAAGUAAUGUGAAUUGCAGAAUUCAGUGAAUCAUCGAAUCUUUGAACGCACAUUGCGCCCGCUAGUACUCUAGCGGGCAUGCCUGUUCGAGCGUCAUUUCAACCCUCAAGCCCUGCUUGGUGUUGGGGCCCUACGGCUGCCGUAGGCCCUGAAAGGAAGUGGCGGGCUCGCUACAACUCCGAGCGUAGUAAUUCAUUAUCUCGCUAGGGACGUUGCGGCGCGCUCCUGCCGUUAAAGACCAUCUUUAACUCAAGGUUGACCUCGGAUCAGGUAGGAAUACCCGCUGAACUUAAGCAUAUCAAAAGGCCGGAAGAA
rnacentral:rRNA from 1 species